rnacentral:rRNA from 1 species
UACGAAGGGGACUAGCGUUGUUCGGAAUUACUGGGCGUAAAGCGCAUGUAGGCGGCUGCGCAAGUCGGGCGUGAAAUCCCACGGCUCAACCGUGGAAGUGCACUCGAAACUGCGCAGCUAGAGUCCUGGAGAGGAAGGUGGAAUGCUUGGUGUAGAGGUGAAAUUCGUAGAUAUCAAGCGGAACACCGGUGGCGAAGGCGGCCUUCUGGACAGUGACUGACGCUGAGAUGCGAAAGCGUGGGGAGCAAACAGG